rnacentral:rRNA from 1 species
GAUGAACGCUGGCGGCGUGCCUAAUACAUGCAAGUCGAGCGAACAGACGAGGCGCUUGCUCCUCUGACGUUAGCGGCGGACGGGUGAGUAACACGUGGAUAACCUACCUAUAAGACUGGGAUAACUUCGGGAAACCGGAGCUAAUACCGGAUAAUAUAUUGAACCGCAUGGUUCAAUAGUGAAAGACGGUUUUGCUUUCACUUAUAGAUGGAUCCGCGCCGGAUUAGCUAGUUGGUAAGGUAACGGCUUACCAAGGCAACGAUGCGUAGCCGACCUGAGAGGGUGAUCGGCCACACUGGAACUGAGACACGGUCCAGACUCCUACGGGAGGCAGCAGUAGGGAAUCUUCCGCAAUGGGCGAAAGCCUGACGGAGCAACGCCGCGUGAGUGAUGAAGGUCUUCGGAUCGUAAAACUCUGUUAUUAGGGAAGAACAAAUGUGUAAGUAACUAUGCACGUAUUGACGGUACCUAAUCAGAAAGCCACGGCUAACUACGUG